rnacentral:rRNA from 1 species
GCUGGCGGCAGGCCUAACACAUGCAAGUCGAGCGGUAACACAGGGAGCUUGCUCCCGGGUGACGAGCGGCGGACGGGUGAGUAAUGUCUGGGAAACUGCCUGAUGGAGGGGGAUAACUACUGGAAACGGUAGCUAAUACCGCAUAACGUCGCAAGACCAAAGAGGGGGACCUUCGGGCCUCUUGCCAUCAGAUGUGCCCAGAUGGGAUUAGCUAGUAGGUGGGGUAACGGCUCACCUAGGCGACGAUCCCUAGCUGGUCUGAGAGGAUGACCAGCCACACUGGAACUGAGACACGGUCCAGACUCCUACGGGAGGCAGCAGUGGGGAAUAUUGCACAAUGGGCGCAAGCCUGAUGCAGCCAUGCCGCGUGUAUGAAGAAGGCCUUCGGGUUGUAAAGUACUUUCAGCGGGGAGGAAGGUGUUGAGGUUAAUAACCUCAGCAAUUGACGUUACCCGCAGAAGAAGCACCGGCUAACUCCGUGCCAGCAGCCGCGGUAAUACGGAGGGUGCAAGCGUUAAUCGGAAUUACUGGGCGUAAAGCGCACGCAGGCGGUCUGUCAAGUCGGAUGUGAAAUCCCCGGGCUCAACCUGGGAACUGCAUUCGAAACUGGCAGGCUAGAGUCUUGUAGAGGGGGGUAGAAUUCCAGGUGUAGCGGUGAAAUGCGUAGAGAUCUGGAGGAAUACCGGUGGCGAAGGCGGCCCCCUGGACAAAGACUGACGCUCAGGUGCGAAAGCGUGGGGAGCAAACAGGAUUAGAUACCCUGGUAGUCCACGCCGUAAACGAUGUCGACUUGGAGGUUGUGCCCUUGAGGCGUGGCUUCCGGAGCUAACGCGUUAAGUCGACCGCCUGGGGAGUGCGGCCGCAAGGUUAAAACUCAAAUGAAUUGACGGGGGCCCGCACAAGCGGUGGAGCAUGUGGUUUAAUUCGAUGCAACGCGAAGAACCUUACCUACUCUUGACAUCCAGAGAACUUUCCAGAGAUGGAUUGGUGCCUUCGGGAACUCUGAGACAGGUGCUGCAUGGCUGUCGUCAGCUCGUGUUGUGAAAUGUUGGGUUAAGUCCCGCAACGAGCGCAACCCUUAUCCUUUGUUGCCAGCGGUCCGGCCGGGAACUCAAAGGAGACUGCCAGUGAUAAACUGGAGGAAGGUGGGGAUGGCGUCAAGUCAUCAUGGCCCUUACGAGUAGGGCUACACACGUGCUACAAUGGCGCAUACAAAGAGAAGCGACCUCGCGAGAGCAAGCGGACCUCAUAAAGUGCGUCGUAGUCCGGAUUGGAGUCUGCAACUCGACUCCAUGAAGUCGGAAUCGCUAGUAAUCGUAGAUCAGAAUGCUACGGUGAAUACGUUCCCGGGCCUUGUACACACCGCCCGUCACACCAUGGGAGUGGGUUGCAAAAGAAGUAGGUAGCUUAACCUUCGGGAGGGCGCUUACCACUUUGUGAUUCA